rnacentral:rRNA from 1 species
AUUGAACGCUGGCGGAAUGCUUUACACAUGCAAGUCGAACGGCAGCACGGACUUCGGUCUGGUGGCGAGUGGCGAACGGGUGAGUAAUGUAUCGGAACGUGCCCAGUCGUGGGGGAUAACGUAGUGAAAAUUACGCUAAUACCGCAUACGAUCUAUGGAUGAAAGCGGGGGAUCGCAAGACCCCGCGCGAUUGGAGCGGCCGAUAUCAGAUUAGGUAGUUGGUGGGGUAAAGGCCCACCAAGCCAACGAUCUGUAGCUGGUCGUGAGAGGACGACCAGCCACACUGGAACUGAGACACGGUCCAGACUCCUACGGGAGGCAGCAGUGGGGAAUUUUGGACAAUGGGCGAAAGCCUGAUCCAGCCAUUCCGCGUGCAGGAUGAAGGCCCUCGGGUUGUAAACUGCUUUUGUACAGAACGAAAAGGUUUCUACUAAUACUAGGAGCUCAUGACGGUACUGUAAGAAUAAGCACCGGCUAACUACGUGCCAGCCGCCGCGGUAA